UCUGCCUCUCAACUCUCUCUCCUUAGUCCUCAAACUAGGGUUUUCAAAUUUUCCUUCAUUUUCUCAGCCUCCAAUCAUGUUUUAAUUGGUAAGUUUUUUGUGGUUCUUCAAAUUGAUUACUAAUCUUGUUCGUGCUGAUUCAGAUUUCGCAGUUUCCUUCAUUUUCUCAGCCUCCAUUCGAUUUUCUCUUGGUCUCCCAUCUCUCAGCUGUUGUAUUUUGCUCAGUUACACACUUGGGGCGUUUGAUAAAGAAUCCCAGAGCUUGAAGAUUGUUCCUGUUGCCUUUGACAAGGAGACAGCAAAACCUAAGGAGGAUGAGGAAGUAGUUAUUAAAGACCAGGAAGCAGAUUUUGCAGAAGUUCAUAGUCUUGUGAAGUCUUAUGCAAGUGACGAUGGCCCUGAUGACUGGAUAUAAUUGAUUAUUAGUCAUAAAAGACUAUCUAUUGGCUUUAUUGAAAAGGAUAGGAAAUGCUAAAAUGUUUCUAUUGCUUAUCGCAAUUUGACUGGCCUAUUAUUUGCUUGUUCUUGUGCAAGCUCAUUUUUGAUCUCAUUACAUUUUGUUUUUUCAAAAAAAGAAAAAAGAAAAAAGAAAAAGAAAUAGAAAUAGAGAAAAAUAUAUGUACUAGAAUAUAAGAUGUA